rnacentral:lncRNA from 1 species
GAUUUUCAUUAGAGAGAGAGAGAGAGAGCGAGAGAAACUAGUUAGUUUCUCUAAUAGUUAAUAGUAAAUAAAAAGAAAAAGCCGUUUGUAGAGAAGAUCAUCCAAGAAUUAUCGUUUACCUUUUUUGAAAUCAUUAAUCUUUUAAAUUUAUUUAUUUUUUUCUUAAUAUCGUUAUUAAUACACUCAUACUGGAAUUCUACUUUUGCCAAGAUAUCAUUUUUUCAUCAUCCACCUUUUCCCUUGAAUGGCGUAAAAAAAAAGUUGCAGAAUGGCAUUCCGACAUGCUCGUAGUUUGCGUUGCAUUUCAUUUCCAAAACGUUGCUUUCCAUCCUAUAAGUCAUAAUGACUGCAUGACUGGUGGAAAAAGGGAAAAGAAUGAGAAAGGGAAGCAGAAGUACCAUAGAAGGAAUAGAAUGCAGAGAACCGAAAACGGAAUAUAAAGAGUAUUUGGGGGGAUUUAAAUUUUUUUUGAAAAGACUUACAUUUUGAGGGAAUCACAUGAAUCCCAACAUAUGGCUUUUUCAUAUUUAUCCAUACUACCAAAAAUUACCCAUUUUUUAUCUAUAUAUGGAAAAGAAUAUUAAAAUAGAUUUUUAGGAUGCUUUCUUUACAUUUCCUUAUAUUAUGAUUGCUACAGCUUUAUGGAUUGUUAUGAUAUUUUUUACGAUGUUCUAUAUUUCCUUAUAUAACGAUUGCUAGAGCGUUAAUGUUUGUUAUAACUGUUAUCGAAAUACUUAAAAAGACGCACAAUAUUUUUUUGCGAUUUAGAGUUCUUUCAUUAGCUGCCUCGUAACACGCUCCAUAAAACACAUUUUAACAAACCUCUCGCUAAACAAUUAUACUGUUACACAACGUUGUGUGUAUAAAUCUUUUGAUACUGUAUUUUUCGUAUUUUGAAGUUCCUUAUACAUUUUUUUAAAUAUUUUUGCAUAGUGUCUUUUGUCUCGUUAUCCUAUUGUUGUUUUUAAUAUUCUCUGUCAUAGUAGCAAUUUUCCAUUUUCUCUCUUUCCAACAAGUCAUCAAGAUGUCAGCUUGUAAGUUUGACAUGAAUACAUGAAAAGUUUGAAAGUAGUAGGUGACGACUUUUCAUUCCAUUUACACUCUUAGUGAAGAUUUCGCAAUGCUCUAUAAAAUCCCAUUUACCAAUCUUCUCCCUAUUUCCUGUGCCACGAGUCAAUCGCUCGUUUCCUCCCUUAUCAUAUUCGUUGGUAUAACUCAUCGCUUGUACUUGUACCAAAAUCCCUACGGAGCCUUAUUUGGUUGAUCAUUUCACAUUCGUCUGUAAAAACAAUAGAAGCUAGACGCUUCCCACAAAGGAGAGAUUUCUCGACAACUACUAUGCAACAUGAAACUUUUUGUUGGAAGCUAUGGCGACUAAGUAAAAACAACUUGUUGAAAAAGUGUCGUCUUCAGUACGCAGGGUGUAAAUGAAUUAGCUAGUCAACAAUAUCUCCACCUUUACUGUUCUUUACAGGAGGAAAAAAAAAUACCGUCCUUCAUCUUUCGAAUGUCUAAACAUGUUUCAUUAAAAAAUCUCGGUCUGUAAUAUCAAUAACCUUGAAAAACCAAGCUCUUUGACUCUCAUUCUCAUUCCCUGUUUAACGACUCGCUAUGACACGCUAUUCUUAGAAUGGCUUCCCCACACUUCUCUCCACGUCACUUACGUAUUCUUUAGACGAUCAAGGCUGUAGCGCUGCCAACUUACCUUCCGUUAGCAUAUUACCCAUUCUCCUACUGAUUUGGUACACUAACAAGCACUGCUUUUAUUUUCCUUGCUUCAGGUUAUAAUAAAUCUAUCUUCUGUGAUA